rnacentral:rRNA from 1 species
AUUGAACGCUGGCGGCAGGCCUAACACAUGCCAGUCGAGCGGAUGAAGGGAGCUUGCUCCUGGAUUCAGCGGCGGACGGGUGAGUAAUGCCUAGGAAUCUGCCUGGUAGUGGGGGAUAACGUCCGGAACCGGGCGCUAAUACCGCAUCCGUCCUGAGGGAGAAAGUGGGGGAUCUUCGGACCUCACGCUAUCAGAUGAGCCUAGGUCGGAUUAGCUAGUUGGUGGGGUAAAGGCCUACCAAGGCGACGAUCCGUAACUGGUCUGAGAGGAUGAUCAGUCACACUGGAACUGAGACACGGUCCAGACUCCUACGGGAGGCAGCAGUGGGGAAUAUUGGACAAUGGGCGAAAGCCUGAUCCAGCCAUGCCGCGUGUGUGAAGAAGGUCUUCGGAUUGUAAAGCACUUUAAGUUGGGAGGAAGGGCAGUAAGUUAAUACCUUGCUGUUUUGACGUUACCAACAGAAUAAGCACCGGCUAACUUCGUG